UUUACAAUAAUUUAUUUAUUUAAACUUUUAAUUAAUUAUUAUUAUUGUUUUUCCAGAAAUAAGAAUAAUAUAAUUCUCUCUAUCGAUUUUAACAUAAUUGAAGAAAUUUAUCAAUUGGAUCAGUUUGUUUGAAUGUAAUAAGGUUAAAGUGCUGAAAUCAGCGAUUGUGUGAAAUCAGCCGACCAACAAAAAUGUGACAUAAAAGAGAUCGCUUACAACGCACAUAAAAAAGCAUAGUAUAAUUCUUUCUACCGAUUUUAACAUAAUUGAAGAGAUUUAUCAAUUGGAUCAAUUCGUUUGAAUGUAAUAAGAUUAAAGUGCUGAAAUCAGCGAUUGUACCAACAAAAAUGUGACAUAAAAGAGAUUGCUUACAACGCACAUGUAAUAAUAAAAUUAUUUAUAUAUAACUAUAUAUUUAAAUAUAGUGUAAUAAUCGUGAUUAUGUAUAAUUACAUAUAAACAACUUUAAAUAACAACAACAACAAAACAACAUAAAAAUAAUUUUUUUAAACAUAAAAAUAAUUUUUUUUAAGUCAUUUAAAAAAUUGUUUUAUUUAUUUUUCAUGUAUAUAUGAAUAAAGAUUAUACAAAAACUAUAUAGAUAUCUAUAAACAUAUUAUAUAUACUUAUAUGUAUAUGUUAUUUUUAUGUAAAAAUUUUUUUAACAAAAGCGUAAUUUAUUACUUCAUAAAUUCAUGAUUAAAAAAACAUUUAAUCUAUUGUUUGCUGUAUUUAUCUCAAAAUAAACGUUAAACAUUUACAAUUUGUGAUUAAACCAGCUUAUUUUCAUUGAGUUAAAUAAAUAAAUAAUAUAACCAUAUUAGUACUUUAAUUCUAACCUACCAUAAUAUGUUAAACAUAUCAAUAAGUUGUAAAUCGCCUAACGGUCUGUAUCGGAUCUUAGUGAUGGAUAUAAUUCUUUUAUUAAAUUUAAUUUUCUUAGCUUUAUUUUAAACUGCGCGCCGACAGGAUUUAUCAGAUUUAAGACACAGUUACUAAGCUAAAUUUCGAUGCUCAAGAACAUCUUAAAAUUUUCCUUUCCCACCUUCCUCGAAAAACUGUAAAUUAAUUUAUUAUAUAUAGAAUUUAUUAUAUUUAUUUAUUAUAUAAAUAAUA